AUUGUUGCCCCCCUCCCGCUCCUCUGGUUCAUUUUUGUCAGUCCUCUACAAAUCUUGGUGUUUGUUUUUGAGGGAGCUGCUGCGCGUGGUGACAGCGUUGGAGGUCUCCUCCGCCUCCUCAUCCUCUUUCACCUCCAGGACCUUACUGAAGAACCUGAAGAUGGUGUUGAAACUCAUCCAGGAGAAGCGAUCAAUGCCGCAGCGCUCUCUCAUUCACCCUGAACUGGUGGUGAACUCCUCCGGAACGCCGCCAGCCUCUCCACCCUAUCCCAUCGCAGUCCGGGGUCACCAGGGGGGCGUCUCUGUGCCAAUAUGCAGAUGAGCCUGUGCCCCUCCAAUGACUGGUGUUAAGCUCCACCCCUCUAUAUGGUGGAGCGCCCCCACCCACCCAACAACACUCACACACAGAGAGACAUAAACCCACUCUCACACUAGCUUAAAUAGGCCUUUAAUAGCUUCUGUCCACUCUUCCUUUAAUAGCCAAAGUGUGCCGAACCUAAUGGAUAUUGUCAAAGCUGAGAUGUGACGACUGAUUUAGAGGAGGAACCCAGAUGACCAGGCUUCACUAGCCACUAAAGAGAGAGAAAGAGAGAGAGAGAGAAUUACCUCAGCUAUGUCACAAAUUACAGUAAUAUCUUUAAAAGAUAUUGGGAUCGAUGAGGUGUCAUCUGGCUGUAUCUUGUGUGUAAAGUGAACCCAUAAACAACCAAUGAGCACUACUUUAUCCUCAAUUUAAGUUCUUACUAUUAAAGUUUUUCAACUGCUAAGCAGAUUUUCUUUUACAAGCGAUUGAUUUCAUGUAUUGUUAAAACAAGAUAUAACGGCUCCACUUUAACCAGUUUAAUUACAACUUGUUAUUUAAUUGAUCAAACUUUGA